rnacentral:rRNA from 1 species
GUGCGAUUGCUGCCUCGUUUGUUGGAAUUGCAACUUCACGGUUGCCCGAAGCUGAGGGAUAUCCCGCAACAGCUUGGAAAGGACACCGUCUACUUGAAGGAGCUCAAUUUAAGAGGACUGAACAACUUGAAGGCCGUGGAGGAUCGUCCAAUGCUCUGUGAGGUCCUUAUUUUUGGGGAUUGUGAAGGCCUGGAGAGGAUCCGCAACCUCCCUCAAGUGACAGACCUGCAAGUACGUGGUUGUCUGAACUUAAGCCGUGUAGAGGGGCUGGGCAGCUUGCAGCAGCUGUCGCUGGGCGAGGAUAUGCAAGAGGUCUCUUCCUGCUCGGUGCCUGGGCUUCAACAGCAGCACCGACAACUUCAUCGCGAAGACCUUGAUGUUUACACGUGGUUCAGAAGUUAG